rnacentral:tRNA from 1 species
GUAAGUAUAGUUUAACUAAAACGUUAGAUUGUGAUUCUAGAAACAGGAGUUAAAAUCCCCUUAUUCACC